UACGGAGGGUGCAAGCGUUAUCCGGAUUCACUGGGUUUAAAGGGUGCGUAGGUGGGUUGGUAAGUCAGUGGUGAAAUCCCCGAGCUUAACUUGGGAACUGCCAUGGAUACUAUGUGUCUUGAAUGUUGUGGAGGUGAGCGGAAUAUGUCAUGUAGCGGUGAAAUGCUUAGAUAUGACAUAGAACACCAAUUGCGAAGGCAGCUCACUACACAAAUAUUGACGCUGAGGCACGAAAGCGUGGGGAUCAAACAGG
rnacentral:rRNA from 1 species